UGGGGAAUAUUGCACAAUGGGCGCAAGCCUGAUGCAGCGACGCCGCGUGAGGGAUGACGGCCUUCGGGUUGUAAACCUCUUUCAGCUCCGACGAAGCGCAAGUGACGGUAGGGGUAGAAGAAGGACCGGCCAACUACGUGCCAGCAGCCGCGGUAAUACGUAGGGUCCGAGCGUUGUCCGGAAUUACUGGGCGUAAAGAGCUCGUAGGUGGUUUGUCGCGUUGUUCGUGAAAACUCACAGCUCAACUGUGGGCGUGCGGGCGAUACGGGCAGACUUGAGUACUGCAGGGGAGACUGGAAUUCCUGGUGUAGCGGUGGAAUGCGCAGAUAUCAGGAGGAACACCGGUGGCGAAGGCGGGUCUCUGGGCAGUAACUGACGCUGAGGAGCGAAAGCGUGGGGGAGCGAAACAGGAUUAGAUACCCUGGUAGUCCACGCCGUAAACGAUGAGUGCUAAGUGUUGGGGGGUUUCCGCCCUCAGUGCUGCAGCUAACGC
rnacentral:rRNA from 1 species